GAAGGUAGAGCUCAGUGGUAGAGCAUGUGCUUAGCAUGCACGAGGUCCUGGGUUCAAUCCCCAGUAUCUCCG
rnacentral:tRNA from 1 species